rnacentral:rRNA from 1 species
CAUGGCUCAGGAUGAACGCUGGCGGAGUGCCUAACACAUGCAAGUCGAGCGGCAGCACGAGUAGUUUACUACUUGGUGGCGAGCGGCGGACGGCUGAGUAACGCGUGGGAACGUGCCCCAAAGUGAGGAAUAACUGCCCGAAAGGGUGGCUAAUGCCGCAUAUGAUCUUCGGAUUAAAGUAUUUAUUACGCUUUGGGAGCGGCCUGCGUCCGAUUAGGUAGUUGGUGAGGUAAAGGCUCACCAAGCCCACGAUCGGUAGCUGGUCUGAGAGGAUGACCAGCCAGACUGGAACUGAGACACGGUCCAGACUCCUACGGGAGGCAGCAGUGAGGAAUCUUCCACAAUGGACGAAAGUCUGAUGGAGCAACUCCGCGUGCAGGAUGAAGGCCUUCGGGUUGUAAACUGCUUUUAUGAGUGAAGAAUAUGACGGUAACUCAUGAAUAAGGGUCGGCUAACUACGUGCCAGCAGCCGCGGUCAUACGUAGGACCCAAGCGUUAUCCGGAGUGACUGGGCGUAAAGGGCGCGUAGGCGGCCACCGCAAGUCAAUUGUGAAAUCUCCGGGCUUAACUCGGAAAGGUCAACUGAUACUGCGGGGCUAGAGUGCGGAAGGGGCAACUGGAAUUCUCGGUGUAGCGGUGAAAUGCGUAGAUAUCGAGAGGAACACCUGCGGCGAAGGCGGGUUGCUGGGCCGACACUGACGCUGAGGCGCGAAAGCUAGGGGAGCGAACGGGAUUAGAUACCCCGGGUAGUCCUAGCCUUAAACGAUGAAUGCUUGGUGUCUGGGGUUUACAAAGUCCCCCGGGUGCCGUCGCUAACGCUUUAAGCAUUCCGCCUGGGGAGUACGGUCGCAGACUGAACUCAAAGGAAUUGACGGGGACCGCACAGCGNGGAGCAUGGUGGNUUAAUUCGACGCAACGCGAAGAAUCCUUAUCUUGG